UACGUAGGGCGCAAGCGUUAUCCGGAAUUAUUGGGCGUAAAGAGCUCGUAGGCGGUCUGUCGCGUCUGCUGUGAAAACCUAGGGCUUAACUCUGGGCGUGCAGUGGGUACGGGCAGGCUAGAGUGCGGUAGGGGAGACUGGAAUUCCUGGUGUAGCGGUGAAAUGCGCAGAUAUCAGGAGGAACACCGGUGGCGAAGGCGGGUCUCUGGGCCGUAACUGACGCUGAGGAGCGAAAGCAUGGGGAGCGAACAGG
rnacentral:rRNA from 1 species